rnacentral:rRNA from 1 species
UACAGAGGUCUCAAGCGUUGUUCGGAUUCAUUGGGCGUAAAGAGUGUGUAGGCGGUGCUCCAAGUCUGGUGUGAAAUCUCCCGGCUCAACUGGGAGGGUGCAUUAGAAACUGGAAUGCUAGAGGAUGGGAGAGGUAAGCGGAAUUCCUGGUGUAGCGGUGAAAUGCGUAGAUAUCGAGAGGAACACCUGCGGCGAAGGCGGGUUGCUGGGCCGACACUGACGCUGAUGCGCGAAAGCCAGGGGAGCGAACGGG